GACGAACGCUGGCGGCGUGCCUAAUACAUGCAAGUAGAACGCUGAAGAGAGGAGCUUACUCUUCUUGGAUGAGUUGCGAACGGGUGAGUAACGCGUAGGUAACCUGUCUUGUAGCGGGGGAUAACUAUUGGAAACGAUAGCUAAUACCGCAUAACAAUGGAUGACACAUGUCAUUUAUUUGAAAGGGGCAAUUGCUCCACUACAAGAUGGACCUGCGUUGUAUUAGCUAGUAGGUGAGGUAAUGGCUCACCUAGGCGACGAUACAUAGCCGACCUGAGAGGGUGAUCGGCCACACUGGGACUGAGACACGGCCCAGACUCCUACGGGAGGCAGCAGUAGGGAAUCUUCGGCAAUGGGGGCAACCCUGACCGAGCAACGCCGCGUGAGUGAAGAAGGUUUUCGGAUCGUAAAGCUCUGUUGUAAGUCAAGAACGGGUGUGAGAGUGGAAAGUUCACACUGUGACGGUAGCUUACCAGAAAGGGACGGCUAACUACGUG
rnacentral:rRNA from 1 species